rnacentral:sRNA from 1 species
AGAGUCCUGAAACCUUUCCGUGGAAUAGUUUAAGAAACGGUUAUGAGGCCAGGCGCGGCGGCUCAUGCUGGUAAUCUCAGGACUUGGGGAGGCCGAGGCGUGCGGAUCACGAGGUCAGGAGUUCCAGACCAGCCUGGCCAACAUGGCAAAACCCUGUCUACUAAAAGCAAAAAAUUAGCUGGGCAUGGUGGCGUGCUCCUGUAGUCCCAGCGACUUGGGAAGUUGAGGCAGGAGAAUCGCUUGAAUCCGGGAGGUGGAAGUUAUGGUCUCCGGGCUUAACAACAACGAAGGGGCUGUGACUGGCUGCUUUCUCAACCAAUCAGCACCGAACUCAUUUGCAUGGGCUGAGAGCAAAUGUUCGCGAACUCUAGAAAUGAAUGACAUAAUGGUCCUGGCGGAGGUGAUCCAGGCGUUCUCCGCCCCGGAGAAUGCAGUGCGCAUGGACGAGGCUCGGGAUAACGCGUGCAACGACAUGGGUAAGAUGCUGCAAUUCGUGCUGCCCGUGGCCACGCAGAUCCAGCAGGAGGUUAUCAAAGCCUAUGGCUUCAGCUGCGACGGGGAAGGUGGGUCAGACGCGGGAAGGCGGGAGUUGGGUCGGGAGAGGGCGCCGAUCUGUGGGCCCAUGAGCGGUUGUCCCCUUUCUCGCCACACGGCGGCAGCCACAAUCUGACUAACAUUCUUGGCACUCAGAGCCCAGGGUCUACCCUGAGCUUGUGCGUCCGAGUUGCAUUUUGUACAAUAGAGGUUCCGUAUCCCUUACCCGAAAUGCUUGGGACCGGAAGUGUUUUGGGUUUGUUCAGAUUUCGGAAUAUUUACAUAUGCAGGGAUAUCUUGGGGGAUGGGACUUAAAUCUGAACACGAAAUUGUUUUGUUUUAUAUACACACACCUUAUGCACAUAGCCUGAAGGUAAUUUUAUAUAAUAGUCUGAAUAAUUUUGUGCAUGACACAAAGUUUUG